rnacentral:rRNA from 1 species
UACGUAGGGUGCGAGCGUGUCCGGAAUUAUUGGGCGUAAAGAGCUCGUAGGCGGUUUGUCGCGUCGACUGUGAAAACCUACAGCUUAACUGUGGGCUUGCAGUCGAUACGGGCAGACUUGAGUUCGGUAGGGGAGACUGGAAUUCCUGGUGUAGCGGUGAAAUGCGCAGAUAUCAGGAGGAACACCGGUGGCGAAGGCGGGUCUCUGGGCCGAUACUGACGCUGAGGAGCGAAAGCGUGGGGAGCGAACAGG